rnacentral:rRNA from 1 species
AGGACGAACGCUGGCGGCGUGCUUAACACAUGCAAGUCGAGCGGAAAGGCCAUUUCGGUGGUACUCGAGCGGCGAACGGGUGAGUAACACGUGAGUAAUCUGCCCCUGGCUUUGGGAUAGCCACCGGAAACGGUGAUUAAUACCGGAUACGACCCGCCCUCGCAUGGGGGUGUGUGGAAAGUUUUUCGGCCAAGGAUGUGCUCGCGGCCUAUCAGCUUGAUGGUGGGUAAUGGCUCACCAUGGCUUCGACGGGUAGCCGGCCUG